rnacentral:tRNA from 1 species
GGGCCGGUAGCUCAGCGGUAGAGCAGGGGACUCUUAAUCCCUUGGUCGUGGGUUCGAAUCCCUCCCGGCUCA